GGAGUGGGCAGGACGCAGGAAAGCCGCAGUGGGUAGGGCCUCAGCCUGAGUUAGUAACAGCGAAGCUCUCACCAUCUCUCGGUGCUGGCAGGAUGGAGGGACAAAGGGAGGGAGUGGUUUCCAGAACCUGGGAAGACACAGUCACAGAGAGGAGACCAUCUGGAGAAGAGCAGUGACCUCUGGAUACAGGACACAGAGAGUCUGAGGCAACCACCCAGGGAGUGAGCACGGAGGUUAGGACCUGCCCCACUCGCCGUCCUCCUCGGACCUGCUGCGCUCCCCUUGGCCACACCCAACCAGAGACCAGGGGGUGAGGGAGCCUCUGAUGUGGCAGACAGGAAGAUCAGACCUGAGCUAACAUCUGCUGCCAAUCCUCCUCUUUUUUGCUGAGGAAGACUGGCCCUGAGCUAACAUCUGUCCCAUCUUCCUCUACUUUGUAUAUUGGACGCCUCAUGGCCUCAGGAGCAGUGCAUAUGUCCACACCUGGGAUCCGAACUGGUGAACCCCAGGGCCACUGAAGAAGAACUGGGAACUUAACCGCUGUGCCACCGGGCCAGCUCUAAUUUCAAUUUUUAAAAAUACUGCAUUGAAAUAUUAUUUACCACGACUGAUGAAUUUUUUGGUGCUCCAUUCAAUUUUGCAUCAGAAGCUCGUGAGACUCGCCUCCCUCUCCUCCUGGCCCUGCUCCCAGAAGGGAAGGGGUGUUUAUUGCAGCCCUAUGGGUGCAGCUUCUGGUUAUGGGAACAGGCUUUGGGAUGGGACAGACUUGGAUCUGAAUCUCAGUCUCAGCUGUGUGACCCCGGACAGGGCGCUAACCUCUCUGAGCCUCGGGUUUCAGAUAAUAAAUCCCUAUUGGUAGGGUUUGCUGUGAGGGCGAAGUUAACCAGCAUGAUGUAAAUACAGUGGGGAACUCAGCGCCUCCUACAGGAUGAGUGUUCAGUAAAGGGCUGCUGUUUCAUGACGCCCCCUCCGGGCACAGUGCCAGGCACAUUUGCAAAGGGCAUCAGGCUCGGAGCAGACAGGCAGGGCUGCCCCGCCAGGGCCCCACCCCGGGCCUUUUGUUCCCUGC
rnacentral:lncRNA from 1 species